UAGUUGUAGUCUCAUUGCUGUUCUUCUGUAGUUAGGGCUCUCCUGGAAUUCAAACAGCAUCUCUUCUCCAUGAGCCAGAAGGUGAACUGCUGGAGUGAUUGAGGAGUUCCUCUAAAUGCCAUGCUAUGCUAACUCUGCUGUUCCUAGAAGAGCAUCUCUUCAUCUAUGCAUUGGAGCUGAGCUUGUCUCUCAAAUUCCCUGCUCCAAGGAAGGAUGUGGUUUUUUGAGUUCUUUACAAACCAAAGACAAGGGACUGACCUCAGUAUUACCUCUACUAUGCUGUGAGGCAGUCACUCUGGCAUGUAUUCCUAUAUUUGUAGCCCUACUUUCACUCAAAGCACCAAGUCUGCUGCUACUGGAACUGACUUUUUUUCUGUUCAAAGAAAUGUUAACAAAUAACAGUAUUUUCUGUAGGCAUGGACAGUAAUUUUUGGAGUAAAUAAUAACUUCAGUUCA